rnacentral:rRNA from 1 species
CAGGCUUAACACAUGCAAGUCGAGGGGCAGCAUUUUAGUUUGCUUGCAAACUGAAGAUGGCGACCGGCGCACGGGUGAGUAACACGUGUCCAACCUGCCGAUAACUCCGGAAUAGCCUUUCGAAAGAAAGAUUAAUACCGGAUAGCAUACGAAUAUCGCAUGAUAUUUUUAUUAAAGAAUUUCGGUUAUCGAUGGGGAUGCGUUCCAUUAGUUUGUUGGCGGGGUAACGGCCCACCAAGACUACGAUGGAUAGGGGUUCUGAGAGGAAGGUCCCCCACAUUGGAACUGAGACACGGUCCAAACUCCUACGGGAGGCAGCAGUGAGGAAUAUUGGUCAAUGGGCGAGAGCCUGAACCAGCCAAGUAGCGUGAAGGAUGAAGGCUCUAUGGGUCGUAAACUUCUUUUAUAUGGGAAUAAAGUUUUCCACGUGUGGAAUUUUGUAUGUACCAUAUGAAUAAGGAUCGGCUAACUCCGUGCCAGCAGCCGCGGUAAUACGGAGGAUCCGAGCGUUAUCCGGAUUUAUUGGGUUUAAAGGGAGCGUAGGUGGAUUGUUAAGUCAGUUGUGAAAGUUUGCGGCUCAACCGUAAAAUUGCAGUUGAAACUGGCAGUCUUGAGUACAGUAGAGGUGGGCGGAAUUCGUGGUGUAGCGGUGAAAUGCUUAGAUAUCACGAAGAACUCCGAUUGCGAAGGCAGCUCACUAGACUGUCACUGACACUGAUGCUCGAAAGUGUGGGUAUCAAACAGGAUUAGAUACCCUGGUAGUCCACACAGUAAACGAUGAAUACUCGCUGUUUGCGAUAUACAGUAAGCGGCCAAGCGAAAGCAUUAAGUAUUCCACCUGGGGAGUACGCCGGCAACGGUGAAACUCAAAGGAAUUGACGGGGGCCCGCACAAGCGGAGGAACAUGUGGUUUAAUUCGAUGAUACGCGAGGAGCCUUACCCGGGCUUAAAUUGCAACAGAAUAUAUUGGAAACAGUAUAGCCGUAAGGCUGUUGUGAAGGUGCUGCAUGGUUGUCGUCAGCUCGUGCCGUGAGGUGUCGGCUUAAGUGCCAUAACGAGCGCAACCCUUAUCUUUAGUUACUAACAGGUCAUGCUGAGGACUCUAGAGAGACUGCCGUCGUAAGAUGUGAGGAAGGUGGGGAUGACGUCAAAUCAGCACGGCCCUUACGUCCGGGGCUACACGCGUGUUACAAUGGGGGGUACAGAAGGCGGCUACCUGGUGACAGGAUGCUAAUCCCAAAAACCUCUCUCAGUUCGGAUCGAAGUCUGCAACCCGACUUCGUGAAGCUGGAUUCGCUAGUAAUCGCGCAUCAGCCAUGGCGCGGUGAAUACGUUCCCGGGCCUUGUACACACCGCCCGUCAAGCCAUGAAAGCCGGGGGUACCUGAAGUACGUAACCGCAAGGAGCGUCCUAGGGUAAAACUGGUAAUUGGGGCUAAGUC